rnacentral:hammerhead_ribozyme from 1 species
AUCCAGAUGACGAGUCCCAAAUAGGACGAAACGCGCGUCCAACUGGAU